GCUCCCUCAGGGAAAUGUCCGUCCCCUCAUGGAUACCCACAGCGGGCGGGGACCGGACCCCACACAGGGGCUCCUACUGCGGCCAGAUGAGCCUCCGCUUCUCCCCCUGCGGGGAGUGUGUACCGACUGGUAAUGCGAGGGGUGCCCUCAGUUUUUGAGCCAUGGCAUUGGCACAGGAAAUGCUUGACAAGAUAUUUCUGACAAAACCCGAUGAUUUCAAUCCAGAAACAGAAAAUAGCACAUCCACAAAAUUCUGGUACUUCUAGGUAUAUUUUGUGCAGGGGUACUGCUGCAAGUGACCACAGGUGAACUGGAGAUCUGAAAACUGGCCUCUGCAGAGGUGGCCAGAGCACAAUGAACUACAGGGAAUGGUACAGAGUCUCAUGGUGAGAGACAGAUCUUGUACCAGCACAGAGUUACAGCCAUUUCUAUGGAAAUUGAAGGUUUGAAGCUCAGGAGAAAGCAGCAACAAAUUUCCCAUCAGACAAGAAGAUGGUUCAAAGAUAACAGCCCAGAGCUAACUUCGGCUGAUCUUCCCUGGGAAUCCUUCUCUGUGUGCA